rnacentral:rRNA from 2 species
UCGAACGGCAGCACGAGAGCUUGCUCUUGGUGGCGAGUGGCGGACGGGUGAGUAACGCGUAGGAAUCUACCCAAUAGCGGGGAUAGCCCGGGAAACUCGGAUUAAUACCGCAUACGCCCACGGGGGAAAGCCGGGAUCUUCGGACCGGUCACUAUUGGAGGAGCCUGCGUAGGAUUAGCUAGUUGGUGAGGUAAAGGCUCACCAAGGCGAUGAUCCUUAGCUGGUCUGAGAGGACGAUCAGCCACACUGGAACUGAGACACGGUCCAGACUCC